rnacentral:rRNA from 1 species
AGUGGCGGACGGGUGAGUAACGCGUGAGAAUCUGCCUUGGGGUCGGGGACAACCACUGGAAACGGUGGCUAAUACCGGAUAAGCCGAUUGGUGAAAGAUUUAUUGCCCGAAGAGGAGCUCGCGUCUGAUUAGCUAGUUGGUGAGGUAAGAGCUCACCAAGGCAGCGAUCAGUAGCUGGUCUGAGAGGACGAUCAGCCACACUGGGACUGAGACACGGCCCAGACUCCUACGGGAGGCAGCAGUGGGGAAUUUUCCGCAAUGGGCGAAAGCCUGACGGAGCAAGACCGCGUGAGGGAGGAAGGCUCUUGGGUUGUAAACCUCUUUUCUCAGGGAAGAAGCUCUGACGGUACCUGAGGAAUCAGCCUCGGCUAACUCCGUGCCAGCAGCCGCGGUAAUAUGGAGGAGGCAAGCGUUAUCCGGAAUUAUUGGGCGUAAAGCGUCCGCAGGUGGCGAUUCAAGUCUGCUGUCAAAGCACGGGGCUUAACUCCGUAAAGGCAGUGGAAACUGAAUAGCUAGAGUGCCGUAGGGGUAGAGGGAAUUCCCGGUGUAGCGGUGAAAUGCGUAGAGAUCGGGAAGAACAUCGGUGGCGAAAGCGCUCUACUGGACGGCAACUGACACUCAGGGACGAAAGCUAGGGGAGCGAAUGGGAUUAGAUACCCC